GUGGCGAACGGGUGAGUAACACGUGAGCAACCUGCCCUGGACUCUGGGAUAAGCGCUGGAAACGGUGUCUAAUACUGGAUAUGAGCUCUCAUCGCAUGGUGGGGGUUGGAAAGAUUUUUUGGUCUGGGAUGGGCUCGCGGCCUAUCAGCUUGUUGGUGAGGUAAUGGCUCACCAAGGCGUCGACGGGUAGCCGGCCUGAGAGGGUGACCGGCCACACUGGGACUGAGACACGGCCCAGACUCCUACGGGAGGCAGCAGUGGGGAAUAUUGCACAAUGGGCGGAAGCCUGAUGCAGCAACGCCGCGUGAGGGAUGACGGCCUUCGGGUUGUAAACCUCUUUUAGCAGGGAAGAAGCGUGAGUGACGGUACCUGCAGAAAAAGCGCCGGCUAACUACGUGCCAGCAGCCGCGGUAAUACGUAGGGCGCAAGCGUUAUCCGGAAUUAUUGGGCGUAAAGAGCUCGUAGGCGGUUUGUCGCGUCUGCUGUGAAAUCCCGAGGCUCAACCUCGGGUCUGCAGUGGGUACGGGCAGACUAGAGUGCGGUAGGGGAGAUUGGAAUUCCUGGUGUAGCGGUGGAAUGCGCAGAUAUCAGGAGGAACACCGAUGGCGAAGGCAGAUCUCUGGGCCGUAACUGACGCUGAGGAGCGAAAGGGUGGGGAGCAAACAGGCUUAGAUACCCUGGUAGUCCACCCCGUAAACGUUGGGAACUAGUUGUGGGG
rnacentral:rRNA from 1 species